rnacentral:rRNA from 1 species
GUCUAUGGACAUACCACCCUGAAUGCAACCAAUCUUGUCUGAACUUGGAAGCUAAGCAGGGUUGGGCCUGGGUAGUACUUGAAUGGGAAAUAAGGUCCUACAAAAU